GACGAACGCUGGCGGCGUGCUUAACACAUGCCAGUCGAACGGAAAGGCCCUGCUUUUGUGGGGUGCUCGAGUGGCGAACGGGUGAGUAACACGUGAGUAACCUGCCCUUGACUUUGGGAUAACUUCAGGAAACUGGGGCUAAUACCGGAUAGGAGCUCCUGCUGCAUGGUGGUGGUUGGAAAGUUUCGGCGGUUGGGGAUGGACUCGCGGCUUAUCAGCUUGUUGGUGGGGUAGUGGCUUACCAAGGCUUUGACGGGUAGCCGGCCUGAGAGGGUGACCGGCGACAUUGGGACUGAGAGACGGAGCAGACGCCUACGGGAGGCAGCAGUGGGAAAUAUUGCACAAUGGGCGGAAGCGUGAUGCAGCAACGCCGCGUGCGGGAUGACGGCCUUCGGGGUAUAAACCGCUUUCGCCUGUGACGAAGCGUGAGUGACGGUAAUGGGUAAAGAAGCACCGGCUAACUACGUG
rnacentral:rRNA from 1 species